CCUGAGCAGCAUGCAGCAUUGAGCCCCACACAUAAUGUAUGGACUGUUGACUGGCUUCCUAUCACCCACAGUGGCUAAGGGCUGAGAGCAGACAGAGGGCUCAACCCCACAGCCCAUGUUUACUUGCAUCUGUUUGAAAAUGGUUAAAAGAAAAGGUUUGGCUGCCUAUUAACCACUGCAGACCUUGGGGUAUUUCCUGGCAGUACCCUCCUUCCUAUCACAACCAGGACUAGCACAGAAAAUUGCAGAAAUCCCCAAGUCUAAUUCCAGAAUAAGCACACAGACUGGGAUUAUGAAAUUAAUAUGGAACAAUAUCACUCGCUCUUUAUCCUAAAGUGUUUCACUCCAGUUCACAUAAACAGGUCAGGGAGAGCCUGGUUCCAGUUUCAGAGCAGGGCUGAGGAAAAAGGAGAAACCCCUGAUCAAGACUGAAUUUCUCAUAAGUACUGACCCCUGUGGCUGCAUCUUCCAGAACCAGCUCAGCAUGUAAGCAGACCAUCCUGGCUGGAAUGUAAAGAGUUAAUGUAGAAUUCUUGUUCCAGCCCGGCUCUGUUUCCAUGGCAACAGCUCAGGGUGGUGAAAUCUGAAACUGAAAUCCCAAGGAGCCUGCGGGCUUGUUAGCUACAAGGCUGGGCUCACUGCUCCCCGCGCCACCUGCUGGCUGAACAUCACCAGUGCAGGUGACCUACAUUUCCAACCUCCUGCAUUGCCUUGGGGACCCGGGCCAGGGCCAGGUCUUGCUGCACAGCCAGGUAUGUGUAUUCAUUUACUUGUGUGAUCUUGGCCAAGUCACAACAUCUAAACUUUGAUCUUCUCAUUUGGAAAAAUGAGGACAACAGCCACAAUGCAAGACUGUGAGUGGGUUUUAUGGAAUAUAUACCCUUUCAUCUCUGAAACACGUGUGUAGUAUGUGCCUAAUCGAGACUGCAACAUGGCAGAACCUCAAAUAUUUAUAUGAACAAACAAUUAAAUCUAUACUACUCAGCAUUACCAGGGAUCCACAACCAAACAACAACAAAAUAAACAUUCAUCCUGAUCAUCAAAUAAGUACUACCUAGAUCAACUUGGGGGAAAAGUUUCUCAUCCCACUUUGAGAAGUACAGGAUUUACAUUAUUUGUUCUACACCACAAAGUUAUUUUAGAUUUAAAUGCAAUCAAACCAGUGCUGCAUUUAAAGGAAGUUCUUGAAGUUAAAAAGAAGGAAAUGCACAAUAGCUAGAAUAUUUGUGGUAGAUUUUCUGUGGAAGCAAUGUAAAUAGUAAAGGCUUUAAAAUAAAAAAAUCUGAAGUUCAAAUCUCA